rnacentral:rRNA from 1 species
GACGAACGCUGGCGGCGUGCCUAACACAUGCAAGUCGAACGGAGAUAUCCUUCGGGGUAUCUUAGUGGCGAACGGGUGAGUAACGCGUGGGUAACCUGCCCUUUUAUCGGGGAUAACUUGCCGAAAGGUGAGCUAAUACCGGAUGUCCUAUUUUGAUCACCUGAUUAAGAUAGCAAAGGUGGCCUCUUUAAAUGCUACCGUAAAAGGACGGACCCGCGUCUGAUUAGCUAGUUGGUGAGGUAACGGCUCACCAAGGCGACGAUCAGUAGCCGGCCUGAGAGGUGGAACGGCCACACUGGGACUGAGACACGGCCCAGACUCCUACGGGAGGCAGCAGUGGGGAAUCUUCCGCAAUGGACGAAAGUCUGACGGAGCAACGCCGCGUGAGUGAUGAAGGUCUUCGGAUUGUAAAACUCUGUUUUUUGGGACGAACGGCUCAUAUGUGAACAAUGUAUGAGAUUGACGGUACCAAAGGAGGAAGCCCCGGCUAACUACGUGCCAGCAGCCGCCGUAA